AGCUGGUGAUGUAAGGAUAAUAUUUGCUACUCUUGAUGGGGGUGGCAACCCCAUUUGAUUAUUGAUUGAUUAUCCACCAAGGUCUAUUAGGCU